rnacentral:rRNA from 1 species
UGGGGAAUAUUGCGCAAUGGGGGGAACCCUGACGCAGCCACGCCGCGUGAAUGAAGAAGGCCUUCGGGUUGUAAAGUUCUUUCGGUAUUGAGGAAGGUUGAUGUGUUAAUAGCACAUCAAAUUGACGUUAAAUACAGAAGAAGCACCGGCUAACUCCGUGCCAGCAGCCGCGGUAAUACGGAGGGUGCGAGCGUUAAUCGGAAUAACUGGGCGUAAAGGGCACGCAGGCGGUUAUUUAAGUGAGGUGUGAAAGCCCUGGGCUUAACCUAGGAAUUGCAUUUCAGACUGGGUAACUAGAGUACUUUAGGGAGGGGUAGAAUUCCACGUGUAGCGGUGAAAUGCGUAGAGAUGUGGAGGAAUACCGAAGGCGAAGGCAGCCCCUUGGGAAUGUACUGACGCUCAUGUGCGAAAGCGUGGGGAGCAAACAGGAUUAGAUACCCUGGUAGUCCACGCUGUAAACGCUGUCGAUUUGGGGGUUGGGGUUUAACUCUGGCGCCCGUAGCUAACGUGAUAAAUCGACCGCCUGGGGAGUACGGCCGCAAGGUUA